rnacentral:rRNA from 1 species
UACUGCUAUCAGUGUUCGAUUAAGCCAUGCGAGUUAAAUGUUCUUCGUGAACAUGGCGUACUGCUCAGUAACACGUGGAUAACCUGCCCUAAGGUCCGGCAUAACCCCGGGAAACUGGGGAUAAUACCGGAUAAACCAUAGAUACUGGAAUGUUCUGUGGUUCAAAGUUCCGGCGCCUUAGGAUGGAUCUGCGGCCUAUCAGGUAGUAGUGGGUGUAAAGUACCUACUAGCCGACGACGGGUACGGGUUGUGAGAGCAAGAGCCCGGAGAUGGAUUCUGAGACAUGAAUCCAGGCCCUACGGGGCGCAGCAGGCGCGAAAUCUUUACAAUGCGGGAAACCGCGAUAAGGGGACACCGAGUGCCAGCAUACAAUGCUGGCUGUCCACAUGUGUAAAUAGCAUGUGAUAGCAAGGGCCGGGCAAGACCGGUGCCAGCCGCCGCGGUAACACCGGCGGCCCGAGUGGUAAUCACUAUUAUUGGGUCUAAAGGGUCCGUAGCCGGUUUGAUCAGUCUUCCGGGAAAUCUGACGGCUCAACUGUUAGGCUUCCGGGGGAUACUGUCA